rnacentral:rRNA from 1 species
UGCGUAGGCGGAAUGAUAAGUUAGUGGUGAAAGCCCCCGGCUCAAUCGGGGAACUGCCAUUAAUACUGUCAUUCUUGAGUAUAGUUGAAGUGGGCGGAAUGUAUCAUGUAGCGGUGAAAUGCUUAGAUAUGAUACAGAACACCGAUAGCGUAGGCAGCUUGCUAAGCUAUAACUGACGCUCAGGCACGAAAGCGUGGGGAGCAAACAGGAUUAGAUACCCUGGUAGUCC